rnacentral:lncRNA from 1 species
AUUCUGUAUGAGAAUCCAUUCCUAAAUUACAACAAAAGAAUAGGACAUUCAAGGAAGAAAAAGAUAAGAAUGUAUUCUUUACAUUAUAGGGAAAUAAAAAGUUCAAUCUGUCUGAAGUUCACAGUGGAAAGUGAUGGAGAAUGAGGGGGCAACUUCAUGGGCUGCCAGAGUCUAUUCACUCAUCCUCAUCCUGAACCAGUCAUUUCUCCUUUCAAAGGACUGUGGUUCCCUGUAAAAUCCAGAGAAGAGGGAGGGGAAAAAACAAUAGCCAGCAGUGAAAAAGACAAUGACAGAAAGUGCAUUUACCAGAAAGUUUUAGUAUUUUUCAGUUUCCUUGGUUACAAGUAAUAGAAUAAGGUGGGAGGAGGAAAUAUUUGAAGCACAAAUCACUGGAAUAAGAAACCAGAUAAGGUUUCAAAGCUCAGAGUAACAUCUAGGGCACUAGCAAAGCAGAGUGGAGAAAUAAAGCAAUUAUUCUGAUGGUCCAA